rnacentral:rRNA from 1 species
GUGUACAAUGUGACCAAGUUUCUCGAUGACCACCCUGGAGGCGACGACGUCUUGCUGUCUUCAACAGCCAAGGAUGCGACCGACGACUUCGAGGACGUGGGGCACAGCACGACCGCCCGGGCGAUGAUGGACGAGUACUACGUGGGCGAGAUCGACGCGACCACGAUACCCACCAAGGUCAAGUACACGCCGCCCAAGCAGCCGCACUACAACCAGGACAAGACCCCCGAGUUCGUCAUCAAGAUCCUCCAGUUCUUGGUCCCCCUCGCGAUACUGGGCCUGGCCGUCGCCGUACGGAUCUACACCAAGGCGGAGUCUGUCUAG